GAGAGAAUCCCAGCUCUGCUAUACUCACCAUCAGCUUAAGAGCUAGUGAGAGAAAUUCAGUACAGAUGACAUUGCCCAUGCACUACAAUAAUUACUUUCUCCAUGGCCCACCAACGGCUACGACCCUGAGGAGAGCACUUCAGGAAGCAAAAGAGACAGAAAAUGCUAUACUGGACCAAAUAGCAUUGGUACCUCCCUCCAAUACCCCACAGCACAAAGAAGAAUAAGAAGCCCUGACUAUUUGAGCAAUCAUCUGCAAAACAGAUCUAUGCUCUCCUGGCUGGUGAAGAACUAUGCAUAAUGAUUACAGAAAUAAUCCAUACCUCCUCCAGAGAAGCUAAAACUGCCAAUACUAGAACUUUCCAGAAAAGUACAAUAAGUGCACCUGAUCUCCCCCAACAAAAAAAAAAGCCACACACACACACACACACCAUUUGUUGCAAAAAAACUCACCUCUCCAACUAUUCCCCUAACUGACCAAUCCUAGGUAAAAUGAUUGAGAAAGUGGUGACAAUCUGUCACAGGGUCCACUCACCACAAAGGUGCUUCCUCCUGGCUGUUCAGGGGAUUGUCUCUUUCUAGGUCCAGUGCCCCAGUCCUGUUUGUUCGCAUGCCCUGCUGCCUGCCCCACCCCACACCCA